rnacentral:rRNA from 1 species
GUUAUAGGGUCAAGCGAAUAAGUGCAUGUGGUGGAUGCCUUGGCGAUUACAGGCGAUGAAGGACGUAGUAGCCUGCGAAAAGCUGCGGGGAGCUGGCAAACAAGCUUUGAUCCGCAGAUGUCCGAAUGGGGAAACCCGGCCCGUAUGGGUCAUCCCUUGCUGAAUACAUAGGCAAGGGAAGCGAACGCAGCGAACUGAAACAUCUAAGUAGCUGUAGGAACAGAAAUCAACCGAGAUUCCCAAAGUAGUGGCGAGCGAAAUGGGAUCAGCCUUGUACUCUUUAGCAGUAUUGCUAGCAGAACGGAAUGGAAAGUCCGGCCAUAGCGGGUGAUAGCCCCGUAUGCGAAAGCAGUAUUGUGGAACUAGGUGUACGACAAGUAGGGCGGGACACGUGAAAUCCUGUCUGAAGAUGGGGGGACCAUCCUCCAAGGCUAAAUACUCGUAAUCGACCGAUAGUGAACCAGUACCGUGAGGGAAAGGCGAAAAGAACCCCGGGAGGGGAGUGAAAUAGAUCCUGAAACCGCAUGCAUACAAACAGUCGGAGCCUGGAAACGGGUGACGGCGUACCUUUUGUAUAAUGGGUCAGCGACUUACAUUCAGUGGCAAGCUUAACCGAUUAGGGAAGGCGUAGCGAAAGCGAGUCCGAAUAGGGCGUUCAGUCGCUGGGUGUAGACCCGAAACCAAGUGAUCUAUCCAUGGCCAGGUUGAAGGUGCGGUAACACGUACUGGAGGACCGAACCCACUAACGUUGAAAAGUUAGGGGAUGAGCUGUGGAUAGGGGUGAAAGGCUAAACAAACUUGGAAAUAGCUGGUUCUCUCCGAAAACUAUUUAGGUAGUGCCUCGUGUCUCACCUUCGGGGGUAGAGCACUGUCAUGGUUGGGGGGUCUAUUGCUGAUUACCCCGCCAUAGCAAACUCCGAAUACCGAAGAGUGCAAUCACGGGAGACAGACAUCGGGUGCUAACGUCCGGUGUCAAGAGGGAAACAACCCAGACCGCCAGCUAAGGUCCCUAAAUAUUGCUAAGUGGGAAACGAAGUGGGAAGGCUAAAACAGUCAGGAGGUUGGCUUAGAAGCAGCCACCCUUUAAAGAAAGCGUAAUAGCUCACUGAUCGAGUCGUCCUGCGCGGAAGAUGUAACGGGGCUAAGCAAUAUACCGAAGCUGCGGAUGCACGUAAGUGCAUGGUAGGAGAGCGUUCUGUAAGCCUGUGAAGGUGUCUUGUAAAGGAUGCUGGAGGUAUCAGAAGUGCGAAUGCUGACAUGAGUAGCGAUAAAGGGGGUGAAAGGCCCCCUCGCCGUAAGCCCAAGGUUUCCUACGCAACGUUCAUCGGCGUAGGGUGAGUCGGCCCCUAAGGCGAGGCAGAGAUGCGUAGCUGAUGGGAAGCAGGUUAAUAUUCCUGCACCGUCGUAUGAUGCGAUGGGGGGACGGAUCGCGGAAGGUUGUCCGGGUGUUGGAUGUCCCGGUCCCUGCAUUGGAGAUGGCACUUAGGCAAAUCCGGGUGCGUGAUUCAAGGGUGUGGGGCGAGCGACUUUAGGUCGCGAAGCAAUUGGAAGUGGUUCCAAGAAAAGCCUCUAAGCUUCAGUCAUACGAGACCGUACCGCAAACCGACACAGGUGGGCGAGAUGAGUAUUCUAAGGCGCUUGAGAGAACUCGGGAGAAGGAACUCGGCAAAUUGGUACCGUAACUUCGGGAUAAGGUACGCCCUUGUAGUUUGACUGGCUCGCGCCAGAAGGACGAAGGGGUUGCAAUAAAAUGGUGGCUGCGACUGUUUAAUAAAAACACAGCACUCUGCAAACACGAAAGUGGACGUAUAGGGUGUGACGCCUGCCCGGUGCCGGAAGAUUAAAUGAUGGGGUGCAAGCUCUUGAUUGAAGUCCCGGUAAACGGCGGCCGUAACUAUAACGGUCCUAAGGUAGCGAAAUUCCUUGUCGGGUAAGUUCCGACC